GAUGAAGAACGCAGCGAAAUGCGAUAAGUAGUGUGAAUUGCAGAAUUCAGUGAAUCAUCGAAUCUUUGAACGCACAUUGCGCCUUCUAGUAUUCUGGCGGGCAUGCCUGUUCGAGCGUCAUUACGCCCCUCAAGUCCCCUGUGGACUUGGUGUUGGGGAUCGGCGAGGCUGGUUUUCCAGCACAGCCGUCCCUUAAAUUAAUUGGCGGUCUCGCCGUGGCCCUCCUCUGCGCAGUAGUAAAACACUCGCAACAGGAGCCCGGCGCGGUCCACUGCCGUAAAACCCCCCAACUUUUUAUAGUUGACCUCGAAUCAGGUAGGACUACCCGCUGAACUUAAGCAUAUCAAUAAGCGGAGGA
rnacentral:misc_RNA from 1 species